UUAAGUUCAGCGGGUAGUCUUACUCGAUUUGAGGUCAAGUUGUCAGAGAUUGUCCGAAGACGGUUUGGAGCACAACAUCCCGAUCGGCCACCCUCGCAAUUGCAAGGCACCGGCGAAGAUACUUAUCACGCCGUACUAUGUCCAACCAAGAGUUGCACUAAGCCAUUUGAGGUAAGCCACGGUAAAGCAGCAAACCCAAG
rnacentral:misc_RNA from 1 species